GUUUAUAUUGUACAUUAUAGCACAAAAGACAUUCCGUUACAUACAAGAGUGUGUAAAAGUUACUCUCAGUCAUUACAACCUCAAGUCAUAGAUGCACAGGUGUGUGUGGAUUGCGACCGUCAGCGUGCACAUGUGAAGUGAAUCACCAGCAACAACUGUCGGCCGACUUUGAAGUUUCAUUAAUGAUCCUUCCGCAGGUUCACCUACGGAAA
rnacentral:misc_RNA from 1 species